rnacentral:rRNA from 1 species
UACGAAGGGUGCAAGCGUUACUCGGAAUUACUGGGCGUAAAGCGUGCGUAGGUGGUCGUUUAAGUUCGUCGUGAAAGCCCUGGGCUCAACCUGGGAACUGCAGUGGAUACUGGGCGACUAGAAUGUGGUAGAGGGUAGCGGAAUUCCUGGUGUAGCAGUGAAAUGCGUAGAGAUCAGGAGGAACAUCCAUGGCGAAGGCAGCUACCUGGACCAACAUUGACACUGAGGCACGAAAGCGUGGGGAGCAAACAGGAUUAGAUACCCUGGUAGUCCACGCCCUAAACGAUGCGAACUGGAUGUUGGGUGCAAUUUGGCACGCAGUAUCGAAGCUAACGCGUUAAGUUCGCCGCCUGGGGAGUACGGACGCAAGACUGAAACUCA